AUUUAAAUUUAUGAAGUAAUUUUAAUUAAUUAAAAGGGAAUUAGGUGAAAUUCCUAAACUAUCCCGUAGCUGUAUUAGAGGAGCUUAAGUACAUUAUGUCACUUUUAAUUAGGGAAGACGUACUUAAAUUAUGAUUCUUAAGUCAGAAGACCUGCCUAUAUUUUGCACCAUUA
rnacentral:ncRNA from 2 species